UUUGCAUUGUUCGAAAUUUUAUCGAUCAUAAAUCGCAACGAGCACAAAUUACACGAUGGUUGAAUCACGUGUACAGGCGAUUUUUAAUAUUGAACCAUUCGAGCCAUCCAUGAGCUGGGAGCGAUGGGUCAAGCGAUUGGAAGGCGCGUUUAAACUUUUCAAAGUGGUGGAGGAUGACAAAGUCCCGUAUUUACUGCACUACAUUGGGGCAUCGGCUUUCGACGUAAUAAGCAAUAAGUGUGCGCCCGACGACCCAUACACUAGAAACUACCGAGACUUGGUUCAGUUGCUCGGACAAUUCUACGCUCCGGCACCACUUGAAAUUGCAGAAAAUUUCCGUUUCCAUCAACGGCGUCAAAAAGAAGGAGAAAGCAUACUGCAAUACGUCGCGGCGUUGCAAAAAUUAAGCUUAAAUUGCAAUUUCGAUACUUACUUAAAAACGGCGUUACGUAACCAAUUUGUUUUUGGCAUUGCAAGUACAAGGAUCCAGUCAAGGUUACUUGAGACAAAAAAAUUGACCUUCGACCAUGCCGUGGAGCUGGCAACAAGCAUGGAGAUGUCGGCAAAGGACACGGAUCAACUACAAGGCUCAACAGCGGCAGUUCAAAUAGCAGAUACCAGGAAAUUCCAAAAACGUCCACCAACAAGCCAGCCCAAGCACGCAAAGAAUACGCAUCAGCCACGUUCGACACCCGCCGCGACAUAUUCUAAUAAUCGUAAUAACUCUAAGUUUACCGAUAAUAAAAGCAUUUCAUGUUUUAGGUGUGGAUUCGAGGUCAUCUUCAAUCAGUCUGUUUUAAGAAUAAAGGACCAACACACAAUGUUGGGGAAAUUUUAUACAAUGCGGCCGACGAAGGCAUAACACAGUUAGAACAGGCAAAAUACCGAAAUAAAUUUCUUACUACACUUCAGGUUGUUUCCAAGUUCGAUCAUACAUCCGACUACACUUAAGUUAAUUACAUAUUGUAAGAGCACAUGUAACAACCCUGAGACCUAAGUUCAGUUUAUUACAAGCGUUAAAAGGUAAAGAGCGUCUUUUACCCCUAAACGACUCGAUUUUACAAAUAAAGAU
rnacentral:misc_RNA from 1 species